rnacentral:tRNA from 1 species
AAUGCUGCGCCGGAAUGAACGGAUUAUAUUGAUGUUAUAAAUAAUAAGAAUUCUUUUCUUCUGCAUUA